CUGUAACGGAAACACUUAGGCUACGUUCACAUUGCGGCCUUAAGUGACCCAAACCCGAUUUUAGAUUCACAUUUCCAACCGUAAGCGACCUGAAAGUGUCCCGCAUGCGCAGUAGAGGGCGCAAAAGCUCAAUGUUUUGCCAACCGCCAUUAAAAACACGAAGAAGACGAAGAAGAAGAAUUGCUCCGCCGUUGCAGAAGUAAAGAUAGAUGCUAACGGUGGAGCGUAUCUUGUUGUCACUGCAGUCCGCCAUUGUUGUUACUUUUCUUCCCGCUUUCGUGUAUCAGGGCACAGAAUAUUGACGUUUGUCGCGUAUCGAUGACGUCCACCUGGCUGAGCAGUCAGGUUCCAAAAGAUCAGAUAUGUACCGAAUAUCCAAGUGGACCGAGUCACAUUCGUCACGAAGAGAGAAGGGUAGAGGUCAGCGUCCUUGAAUCUCCUCUGUAACGUCUGCAGAUAAAUAACAGGCAACCCACCGACUGCAACCCGAAGCUCCAAGGACUUCAGAUAGCCAUUAGGGGGCAGUGCUGCUUUUCCACAGACGCUGCAUGUGGAGCAGCUCAACCUCUCUGUGCUCAUGCCCUCAGGCUUUAGGCAAGAUUUGUGAAAGAGGACUAUUUGAAGAGCAUGUUUCGCCCCAGAGGUUGGCCAUCCUAUUAAGCCUCCCCUCAUUCUGCUUGCUGAUGAAUCUCGGUUCUCCUGCCGCUCCAUGCUAGGAUUUGAUUGUCAGUUUUAAUGAAGACGCUGAAGUGUUCAUCGUUAGCCUGGACCCGCAGAAUGACGCAUCCAAAUGAACCCUGAAACAUACUUGACUGUAUGUUUCUACAAAUAGACUUUCUUGAGCCACGUUACUCAGUGACAUUUCCUUGAACCCAGUUUUAACUUCAGCCCCAACACCAAGUCUGAAAACUCUUGCAAGGCUUUGAGAGAUAGAGAAAAAGUGAGAAAUGGCCUGAAGUUCUGUGUUUUUCCACAAACACUGCUGCUGCGGAGCGAGAGUGUGUUUCCACCUCACAUCCUGCUGCCAGCUGGUCGCACAGAUUGCCUGUCAUCUCCACAUCUCAUCUUUAAGCCCAUUUUCUGUACGUAAAAUGAACAUUUCGUUGCUGCCUCACUCAGCGCCUGACUUCCAGCCUCUCAGAAAUCCCACUGAGAUGGAUUAACUGAAUCCUUUUCAACUCAACAGUGUUGGAACUCAUAUCACAGAUCUGAGAUUGAAGACCGAUGAGGAGCAGCGAGCCUGAAGAGAGGGAAUCUUAGAACGAGUGAAGUAAUAAAAACUGAAAACGAGAGACGGAGAUCUUUCAGAUCUAUGCAACACCCCCACUGAGCAAACUGGGGAGAAGCUGCAAAGAAAUGGGGGAAAAUGACAUGCAUGUGGCUUUGGAUUGAUGGAUGAAUGCAGAGCCUGGAGGCAACAAUUUCAACUUACAAGUGAGUCGCGGAGCUGCAUUUACUUCCUGCCCUCCGUCUGGCCACCGCCACCAGGGCCGGCGGCCACCGGGCCACUGCCACAGGCCGCCGCCACCGGGCCGCCGCCACCGGGCCGCCGCCACAGGGACGCCGCCGCCACUGCAUCUGAACUCAACAAUUAUCUCCGAAACAAGUUUUUGGGAAACAUCUGAACUAAAGUGUGACUCCAUGACAGAUCCAUGGACCAGUAGGGGGCGCCCAUGGACCACCAGGGGGCGCCC